GUGUACAAUCCUACAAAAUUACUGCAUUGGAUCCCCUUAGAAAUUCGUAGUUAAGCACACUUGGGAUAGACUAAUACUGGGAUGGGUGACCUUCUAGGAAGUCUUAGUGUUUUACAUG
rnacentral:rRNA from 1 species